rnacentral:rRNA from 1 species
GACAGAGGGUGCAAACGUUGUUCGGAAUUACUGGGCGUAAGCGUGUGUAGGCGGUCUACUAAGUCGGGUGUGGAAAGCCCUGGGCUCAACCCAGGAAGUGCACUCGAAACUGGCAGGCUAGAGUACUGGAGAGGUUGGUGGAAUUCUCGGUGUAGAGGUGAAAUUCGUUAGAUAUCGAGAGGAACACCGGUGGCGAAGGCGGCCAACUGGACAGAUACUGA